AAAUAGAUCUCUGGGACCGGAGGUCGCUUGCGAGCCGCCGCAGGCCGCGGUCGCGACUGUCCUAGGGGAGUCGGAAUCAGCAGCUUUUCCGGGCCUAGCGCUAGGGCCCGUAGCUGAUGACCACGACGUAGACCCUGACUACUCCGAGUACACGUCCUUCGCGGUGGCCGUCGCGGCAGCGGCCUCUUGAGGUGUGCUACCUAACUAACGAGGUAAGACAUUUUUUUUCACGAUUAACGCGGUCGUUCUACUAAUAAGUGUUUCACCACGAGCAGGUUCUGGUCCAGAUCUGGAAGGUCUCCUGUAUAUAGUUGUAUAUGUACGGGAUUACGGUAAUGCUCUCCGACGAGCGCGCCGAACACACAGUGUGUGUAAAGACGUUAGUACCUCUACGACAGCGUUGGAAUGGAAUUCAUUCCUUUGUGAUCCAAACUUACCUUUACCAUAACUAUUUCUACUUUACCGUUCUCUAGAGUAGUCAUUUCAACUGCCAUAAGAAUUCUUAGUGAGCCCACAACCGUACUUCUUUGAUCUCGAAUUAGAGAUGACAACGGCGUUCCAACUAGUGACAAUAGAGUUAUCAACCGAAGCGUAACGAAAAUCUCGUCCCUAACUUCUCGAGAGGUACAACGACAGAGAAUAGUCACUCCGUCUCAUGUUGAAGGGUACGAGAGAAAAUAAGUCACCCUCACUUUUUAGUUAAGCCAUAGAAUUCGAGAGGUCGACACAGAAAGCAGGGUGUCGACUCGAACUAACGACCUCUUCCAACUUCCUCAACACCGACUGAUUACACGACUAAUGCCUGCUACUCGAUCUCACGGAAGAAAGGUUAAGAAGGUACAACCUCAAUGACACCGAGAAAUCUACGUUACUCUAUCAAACACACUUCUAUGGAACAGUCGAGGUCGCCGAGUCGAAGGACGCUCGCCCAGUUACGUCUUUCGAGGUCCUCUAUCUCUCGUUGCGAGUUUUAUAGAGCUCAAAACUGUAGCCACCGUCAUUGAACCAUUUCUAAAGUAAACCUCCGCGUAACGCUCAUUUCUUGUACUCCUAUUGCACAAGUAUAGUCGGGUUGCAAUAGACCAUGUGAGCCUGGUUCGGAUACGGUAGACAUGACUUACAACUUUGCGAAGUGUAUAGGAGCACAUUACUCUACUAGUCAUGUGGUUGAGAUGGAUCGUUUAAGGACGUGGAGUUUAUGAACGUGUAAUGAGAUUUACGUUUGCUUCGAUAAAGUGGCCGGAUACUAAUGGAAAGAGACCAAAGAAAAGAACAUCGAAGAGGAACGAACCUCUGAAAGUAGAAACAUCAUGUCGUUUGACUGUACUUCGUACUAAGCUAACAGCCCCUAUAGAGCGUAGACUCCGUCGACGGUCUUGUGGCGGUACUGUUGGAUUUCUCGCAUUGUUAGCAGCCGAAGACGAGACGAUUCUCGUACCAGCUUAAUUGUGAAGUAUAGUAAUUCUUGUGUAGCAGCGAAGUCACAGAGUGUAACCUGUGAUCAAAGCCAAGAACACCGACAAGCCAGCUAUUUGGACCGCCAACGUUGGGAUACUCCUCCCUAUAUUAGCUCCUUCGGGUAUCUCGUGAAAACCGAUAGUCUUGUGUGCAACUCCCGUAUUAGGGGAGAUCUCAAUACAAUUUACAAAGUCCCGGAACGUCAGCCACGGUACAACAACUUGCACUGAUUAGUACAUUUUAAUAUUACAAACACUACUCAACAAAUAAUUUAUUUAUCGCGAUAAAUAAAUCAUGUUCGUUC
rnacentral:rRNA from 1 species